rnacentral:lncRNA from 14 species
AGCUCACCGGGUUUUGAAAAGACAGAAGGAAGAACUUGGAAACUUUUUACAGUCAAGCUUUUUGAAAUCACUGAACUAUUUAAUGAUUGUCUUUCCCUUUCCAUGUUUGGAAGAAAAUGUGGCUCUGGAUACCCUUUUGGUUUUGCAUACGUGGACAUCCAAACAAGUUCUGUCCCACAAGUCAUUUUGAUGAAAUCAAAGAAACUGAAAGAAGAUGACAGCACUAGGAAAGCAGCUUGUUUGGCAAGGAAUGUCUAUACGAAGAACAUCAGCUUGGACAUGUCCUCUAAUGAAGUCGUAUAUGAACCAAGUGCAUCCAUUUUGACACCGGAGGGGUUGUAUGAUACUAUUAAGGUGGUGAGUGUGACAAGUGGCACAGAGGUGAGCUGCAUGGCCAGUAUCAACAGCAGCACCAUCACAGCCAGCACAAGCUUGGCAGAAGAGAAUGCUGAAGACCCAGAAAUGGGGGAGGUUUGCAAAACCACAGACACCUCUGCACAAGGUACCAAAGUGGAAAAAGCGAACAUGCUGUCUAUGGCUGUGUUGGGUUUAAGAGUCCUGCUGGCAAAAAGCAUCGCCUUCAAUACACUCAUGAGUAUCAAGCUGUUUCUUUUCUGAGACAGUGAAGAAGCAAGGCAACAGCAACCUGAAAACAAGCAGGAGGAAGAGUGUAUCAGCAGCACAAUGGGAUGAACAGCCAGUGUCAUAUCUGCUGACUAUAACCAUCCAGAACACAAUACAGCACCUUCCCCUUAAGACAUUUUAUACUGUUGGAUCCUGCCUAGCUGAUUUAGUUAAAGAGUUGUAACCACUUUUGCUAUUUCUUUUCUCUCUGUGCUUGAGGAGAGUGUAUUUUUCCUCAUUCUUUUGCUAAGCAGAAUUUGAAUAGCCUUUGAAUCGAUGCAGCUCACCUACUUCAAUAGUUUUGAAAAAUCCAAUCCUCAUUAUAGGCAUAUGAUACUUUUAAAAUACCUUUUAGAGGCAUAUUGCAUUACUGUCUGUGAACUGAUGUCUUGCAGUUGAGAGAACUGAGGCAAAGUAGAUGCUAUUUGCACCUUUAAUGUAUUUUAGAUAGCUUUAAUAACAAUAAUUUUCUAGAGUAGAAGAGAAGACCUGGGUUGCAUCUCAAGUUAUUCACUUCAACCAGAUAAUAUUCAACCAUAGAAGCAUUUCUUUAUUAAACCUGUAUUUCUUCUGCAAAGUGUAUGGCAUGUGCAUUUUAGGUUCCUGUGGUAGUGACC